AAGAACAGCUUUUAGUAUAUGCGUCUCGGCGUCUCCUUCCACUCGAUCUUGGCAUUGACAGAUGGUUCUGCUGUUGCUGCUCUGUCGUGAAAAUCAUAAAACGGAUCCCGUACAUCGGAACUGAUUUUUCCAAGAAAGAAAAGCAUAAUCCUAUUUGGUGCAGAAAGACUCUACGAUCAGAUGGGAAUUUGAAAUUAGAACAUUGAGAAUGGGAGAGACGGCUCAUUUUAUUCUUGUUCUCCAUUUUUGCAUGAUAAAUUGCAGGCUAGUCCUUAUCAGAAUAACAAGGCUGGCAGGCAACGUGCAGAAAAGGAUAUAGAUUCGGAAAUUGCUUUCUUUCUUGUUUUCAUUAUUAGGAAUAACUCUACUCUUUUUCGCUAUUUUAGUCAUAAAAGUGAAAAUGCUUCACAACAUUUGUAGGAGAGGCAUUAUGUUUUUUUUAUUAUUAAUUAUUACUACUUUGGUUUCUAA